AUUGAACGCUGGCGGCAUGCCUUACACAUGCAAGUCGAACGGCAGCACGGGUGCUUGCACCUGGUGGCGAGUGGCGAACGGGUGAGUAAUACAUCGGAACGUACCUUAUCGUGGGGGAUAACGCAGCGAAAGCUGUGCUAAUACCGCAUACGCCCUGAGGGGGAAAGCGGGGGAUCGCAAGACCUCGCGCGAUUAGAGCGGCCGAUGCCUGAUUAGCUAGUUGGGGGGGUAAAAGCCCACCAAGGCGACGAUCAGUAGCUGGUCUGAGAGGACGAUCAGCCACACUGGGACUGCGACACGGCCCAGACUCCUACGGGAGGCAGCAGUGGGGAAUUUUGGAAAAUGGGGGCAACCCUGAUCCCGCAAUGCCGCGUGAGUGAAGAAGGCCUUCGGGUUGUAAAGCUCUUUUGUCAGGGAAGAAACACCGGCUCUAACACAGUCCGGGAAUGACGGUACCUGAAGAAUAAGCACCGGCUAACUACGUGCCAGCCGCCGCGGUAA
rnacentral:rRNA from 1 species